rnacentral:tRNA from 1 species
GCGGGCGUGGUGGAACCGGUAGACACAAGGGACUUAAAAUCCCUCGGCCACAAGCCAUGCGGGUUCGAGUCCCGCCGCCCGCA